GAUAGAUGACUGCCAGGGGGAGCCAGUUCUUCCUUCCGCCUACAUUUUACAUGAUGCCAAAACCACAGGGAGUUCCACGGUCAAGAAGCUACUGGAUUUCCGAUGAUGCACCCUCCUGCUCUCGUUAUCCAGCUAAAAAGAUGCCAAAACCACAGGGAGUUCCACGGUCAAGAAGCUACUGGAUUUCCGAUGAUGCACCCUCACAUUAUCCAGCUAAAAAGUCCAAAAUAUGCUGAGGCCUUCCUCAGCAUGUAGCAGAAAAAUAUUUUGGAUCAGGAAGAGGUCGCAGGCCCAAUAACUGCGUUGGACAUGGCUCGACUUGGCUGAUCCAGUCCAGAUCAUCCCACCGGGUUUAAAAAAAAACAGAUGGCAACUUCCCCCUCCAGCCAGACCGGUACCCAUGUGUUCUCCAUCUAAAAAGGUGAUUGGAGAACUAUUUUUAACCAUCAGGGUCGCUUUAUGGACAUUUUUGUGGGUUACCCAGGAAGCAUGCAUGAUGCAGCCCCAUCUACACUAGGGGGACUUACCCUCCACCUGGGUAUUUCGUCCUAGCUGAUGGUGGCUACCCAUGUCUAGAGGAACCCCUGGCCCUUAUCACACCAUAUAAGAGGCCAGUGAGGCAUGGCAGAGCAAAGGUUUAAUUAUCAUCAUUCCAGAGGUCGCACAAUCAUUGAGCGUGCCUUUGGAAUGAUGAAAACCCGCUUCAGGUGCAUCUUUUUAGAAGCACUUGAAGUACAUCCACUAUUUGUCCCUGCAAUUUUUGUACUGUUCUUCUUUCCUAGAUAAUGUGUGGUGUUUAUUUUUGUGAGUUUAAGUGCUGCUCUGUAUUUUUGUUUAAUCUAUGCAUGUCCCCAUAGGAAAAUGUAAUGCAUGUUUUGAUUUUAGAAAAUGUAUCUGAAGGAGCAAGCAUCUUAAAUGCAUCACCUUUUUUACUGUGAAAACUGUGCAUGUUUUAAUGUGUAUUUAAGCAUGUUUUUGUACUGUUCUUCUUGUUGUGUAUAUAUAUUGUUGUAGUUUUAAAUGUUUCAAGUUGUUGUAUAUAGUUGUAAAUGUUUAAGUUGUUGUAAUAAUGUUUGUACUGUGAGUUUAAGUGCUGCUCUGUAUUUUUGUUUAAUCUAUGCAUGUCCCCAUAGGAAAAUGUAAUGCAUGAUUUGAUGUUAGAGAAUUUAUGUGAAGGAGCAAGCAUUGUAUAUAGUUGUAGA